rnacentral:sRNA from 1 species
GCAGCCGUGGGGAUGGCAGGUUCGGGGAGGCUGGUCCUACGGCCCUGGAUUCGGGAGCUGAUUCUGGGGUCAGAGACACUCUCCAGUCCACGAGCCGGGCAGCUGCUCGAGGUGAGCCCCAACUCAGGGCCCGGAGACCGAGGCGGAGGCCCGGGGUGGUGGGAUUGACGCCGCUCGCCGCCGUCAGGUACUACAGGAGGCCGAGGCCGCGGCCGCGGGCCCAUCUCACGCCCCUGAUACGUCCGACGUCGGGGCCACGCUGCUUGUGUCUGACGGGACCCACAGUGUCCGAUGCCUGGUGACGCGGGAGGCCCUGGACACUUCGGACUGGGAGGAGAAGGAGUUCGGCUUCCGCGGGACAGAGGGCCGGCUGCUGCUGCUGCAGGACUGCGGGGUCCAUGUCCAGGUCGCUGAGGGCGGCGCGGUGAGUGGUGAGACUGCUUUGGGCGGGUUACCGGGCAUGACUUCGUGACGAUUCCUGAGACCUCCCCUUCCCGCCGAACUCCUCCAGCCCGCAGAGUUCUACCUCCAGGUGGACCGCUUCAGCCUGCUGCCCACGGAGCAGCCCCGGCUACGGGUGCCUGGUUGGUAAGUGAUGCCUCCGCCCUCCAGCAGCUCUCCCCACCCCAGCCUGGCCGGCGCUGGCAGACGCUUUUGGGGUAGGAGGGCUUGGGCCCCCAUUAACUACCCUUCUCUUUUUCUUAGCAACCAAGACUUGGAUGUUCAGAAAAAGCUCUAUGACUGCCUUGAGUGAGUCUGGGGUUUGGCUCGGGGGCCACGUGUGGUUUGGUGAGGGGAUGGUGUAUCUAGGUAGACAGACCUCAGCGUGGUUCCUGAGUCCUGGCCACUCUCUUCCUGUAGGGAGCACCUUUCAGAGUCCACCUCGUCCAACGCAGGUACUGUAGGGCUUGACCAGUGAUCCUAACACCCUGUGCAGUGACCUCUUCAGCAUUAACCUUCCGCUUCCUCAAUAAUCUCUCUUCCCCCUCACCCUCCGGCUCCUCCCCUUUAAGCCUUGACUCAUCCUGUGGUCCCCUGUCCCCAGGCCUAUCACUGUCCCAGCUUCUGGAUG